rnacentral:rRNA from 1 species
UACGUAGGGGGCCAGCGUUGCUCGGAAUUACUGGGCGUAAAGGGUUCGUAGGUGGUGCGGCAAGUUGGAAGUGAAAUCUCUGGGCUUAACCCAGAGGCUGCUUUCAAAACUGCCGCGCUCGAGUGCGAGAGAGGUCAGUGGAAUUGCAGGUGUAGCGGUGAAAUGCGUAGAUAUCUGCAGGAACACCCGUGGCGAAAGCGGCUUCCUGGUCCAGCACCGACGUUCAGGCACGAAAGCGUGGGGAGCAAACAGG